UCGAGUUCCUGCCCUUAGGGUAGAUCUCCCACCCUUGCGUACCUCUAUCGCUCGUUGCUUUGGCGGGCCGCUUCGGCUACCGGCGCUCGCUAGUAAGUGCCCGCCAGAGGCUCUAAACUCUGAACAUUAGUGUCGUCUGAGUACUAGAUAAUCGUGA
rnacentral:misc_RNA from 1 species